GGGACACGUGGUAUCCUGUCUGAAUAUGGGGGGACCAUCCUCCAAGGCUAAAUACUCCUGACUGACCGAUAGUGAACCAGUACCGUGAGGGAAAGGCGAAAAGAACCCCGGCGAGGGGAGUGAAAAAGAACCUGAAACCGUGUACGUACAAGCAGUGGGAGCACAGAGCAAUCUGUGUGACUGCGUACCUUUUGUAUAAUGGGUCAGCGACUUAUAUUCUGUAGCAAGGUUAACCGAAUAGGGGAGCCGAAGGGAAACCGAGUCUUAACUGGGCGUUAAGUUGCAGGGUAUAGACCCGAAACCCGGUGAUCUAGCCAUGGGCAGGUUGAAGGUUGGGUAACACUAACUGGAGGACCGAACC
rnacentral:rRNA from 1 species